rnacentral:rRNA from 1 species
GUGGGGAAUCUUGCGCAAUGGGCGAAAGCCUGACGCAGCCAUGCCGCGUGAAUGAUGAAGGUCUUAGGAUUGUAAAAUUCUUUCACCGGGGACGAUAAUGACGGUACCCGGAGAAGAAGCCCCGGCUAACUUCGUGCCAGCAGCCGCGGUAAUACGAAGGGGGCUAGCGUUGCUCGGAAUUACUGGGCGUAAAGGGCGCGUAGGCGGACAGUUUAGUCAGAGGUGAAAGCCCAGGGCUCAAGCUUGGAAUUGCCUUUGAUACUGGCUGUCUUGAGUACGGGAGAGGUGAGUGGAACUCCGAGUGUAGAGGUGAUAUUCGUAGAUAUUCGGAAGAACACCAGUGGCGAAGGCGACUCACUGGCCCGUUACUGACGCUGAGGCGCGAAAGCGUGGGGAGCAAACAGGAUUAGAAACCCCUGUAGUCC